rnacentral:rRNA from 1 species
GACGAACGCUGGCGGCGUGCCUAAUACAUGCAAGUAGAACGCACAGUUUAUACCGUAGCUUGCUACACCAUAAACUGUGAGUUGCGAACGGGUGAGUAACGCGUAGGUAACCUGCCUGGUAGCGGGGGAUAACUAUUGGAAACGAUAGCUAAUACCGCAUAAUAUUAAUUAUUGCAUGAUAAUUGAUUGAAAGAUGCAAUUGCAUCACUACCAGAUGGACCUGCGUUGUAUUAGCUAGUAGGUGAGGUAACGGCUCACCUAGGCGACGAUACAUAGCCGACCUGAGAGGGUGAGCGGCCACACUGGGACUGAGACACGGCCCAGACUCCUACGGGAGGCAGCAGUAGGGAAUCUUCGGCAAUGGACGAAAGUCUGACCGAGCAACGCCGCGUGAGGGAAGAAGGUUGUCGGAUCGUAAAGCUCUGUUGUAAGAGAAGAACGGGUGUGAGAGUGGAAAGUUCACGCUGUGACGGUAUCUUACCAGAAAGGGACGGCUAACUACGUG